AGAGUUUGAUCAUGGCUCAGGAUGAACGCUGGCGGCGUGCCUAACACAUGCAAGUCGAGCGAGAAACAAGGGACGGAGAUUUCGGUUGAAGUUUCUUGCGGAAAGCGGCGGACGGGUGAGUAACGCGUAGGCAACCUGCCCUUUGCAGAGGGAUAGCCUCGGGAAACCGGGAUUAAAACCUCAUGAUACUGAGAGCCCGCAUGGGCUUUUGGCCAAAGAUUUAUCGGCAGAGGAUGGGCCUGCGUCUGAUUAGUUAGUUGGUGGGGUAACGGCCUACCAAGGCGACGAUCAGUAGCCGACCUGAGAGGGUGAUCGGCCACAUUGGAACUGAGACACGGUCCAAACUCCUACGGGAGGCAGCAGUGGGGAAUCUUGCACAAUGGGCGAAAGCCUGAUGCAGCAACGCCGCGUGAGCGAAGAAGGCCUUUGGGUCGUAAAGCUCUGUCCUAAGGGAAGAAGGAAGUGACGGUACCUUAGGAGGAAGCCCCGGCUAACUACGUGCCAGCAGCCGCGGUAAUACGUAGGGGGCAAGCGUUAUCCGGAAUUAUUGGGCGUAAAGAGUACGUAGGCGGUUCUUUAAGCGCAGGGUUUAAGGCGAUAGCUUAACUAUCGUUCGCCCUGUGAACUGGGGGACUUGAGUAUCGG
rnacentral:rRNA from 1 species